CAUAUAAUAAAGUCCUGUCAAUUGCUAUAUGUCUUUCUCCAUACCUGGAACCACUCCCAUCCUGAAUCUUGUUCCUUCACAGAUUAUUUAUGUGAAGACUACAGUUUUGGAUUGAGGUGCAUUAACUUGAAUUAGUCAAAGAGUGAAAACACCAUCAAAGAGAUAUUGCUUAUGUUUGUAAAUGAGCUUUAUUAUGAUUGUGGAAUGAGAAUUUGAAAAGAAUUGUUGAGAACACUCCAGAUAGAGUUGUAUCAUUUUAUGGAACAUAUGUUUGAAACUAGACCUCCUUUUCUAUCCUGUAGAUUAAAAAGGACCACACUGAACAGCAUGACUAACACCUUUAAAAUCAAGUUAGUUAUGCUGAGAGAAGGAUUUAGCGUUUUGGAUCAAGUAUAAGCAUGUCUUUUGACCUGGAUUUAGAAACAGCUGAUAACUAAGGCAUAGAGUACCAUACCUUAAACUCACUCAAACAAUGGUGUCACCAUUCAGCAGUUCAGGACUGUGUUAAAAGGCAAAACCUAAUAAAUAAAUUAACAGAAGAGGAAAGGACAUGUAAAACCUGCUGGGCAUGAGGUAAUUUUUCUGAUUCACAUUUUAGCAAAUAGGGCAGGGUUGCUAUCAGUGACAGCAGGACACAUGCUGGGCGAGUCACUAGAGCAGAAAUUCCGUGUUGGUGGAUUAUCUCCUUCAAAUAUGAAUGAAGGAAUGAAGUAGUGUUUGAAAAUAGUAACGUUUUGUAUUGGAAAGCUUGUUGAUUUACUUUCAUCUAUGAUUUAUAUCCUUGUUGUGGUAAAUAAUGCUAGACUGUAGCCUCCAUUGCAUAGACACACAUUUAGUUGAGAUCAGCUCAUUGCAGCUCUCUCAUUAUUCUAAUUGUUUACUCCAAAAGAGUAACCUUUUGGAGAAUGUGUAAUAUGGUGAUAGCUGAUGACAACUACAGGAAAACGACAGAAUAAAUAACAAGUCAGAUCUUAGCAGAUCAACAAAUGAUCUGUGAACAUAUUUUGGGACACAUGGAUAAUUUGAAACACUAUCCUCCUUGUCAUAUUCUAAGUUGUAUGUACAAAUAAUUACAUGGUCAAAACCUUCACUGCUGUCCCUCUGUAGUCUCUACGUCUUUUCAUAUUUAACAUGACAAUAGAGCAUUUCUUAUAUAUGAUCCAUUGAUAUAUUUGGCUUGCACUGAUACACUCGAAGGCUCCUUUUUGUAGGAUUUUUGUGUGCACAAAAUCUGUUGAUCUCUCACUAGACUGCCUUCUUUUUCGUAAUGGCUUUACUGUGGCUUUCUUAUGUUUGAAUAUAAGAGCUGUUGCAGAGCUUUUGCAUUUGACUUCAUGUCCCUAAUAGUAAGCUGACAGGCCCUUCAACUCAAAGAAAUUCUGAAGGUGUUACAUCCUUCCACAACAUGCUGGGGAAUCUUUCAGUAUAACAGGCUACCUGAAAAAAAAAAAAAAAA